CCUACGUGUGGCAGCAGUGAGGAAUAUUGGUCAAUGGGCGCGAGCCUGAACCAGCCAAGUAGCGUGAAGGAUGACUGCCCUACGGGUUGUAAACUUCUUUUAUAAAGGAAUAAAGUGAGGCACGUGUGCCUUUUUGUAUGUACUUUAUGAAUAAGGAUCGGCUAACUCCGUGCCAGCAGCCGCGGUAAUCCGGAGGAUCCGAGCGUUAUCCGGAUUUAUUGGGUUUAAAGGGAGCGUAGAUGGGUUGUUAAGUCAGUGGUGAAAGUUUGCGGAUCAACCGUAAAAUUGCAAUUGAUACUGGCAGUCUUGAGUACAGUUGAGGUAGGCGGAAUUCGUGGGGUAGCGGUGAAAUGCUUAGAUAUCACGAAGAACUCCGAUUGCGAAGGCAGCUUACUAAACUGCCACUGACAUUGAUGCUCGAAAGUGUGGGUAUCAAACAGGAUUAGAUACCCGUGUAGUC
rnacentral:rRNA from 1 species